GCACCGGUGGUUAAUGGAACACGCACCAGCAUGAUGAAUCAGACACGCCAUAUUGUAACGGUGAGACGGGGUUCGAUUCCCCGCCGGUGCA